CCUGGUGGCUCAGUUGGUAAAGAAUCUGCCUAUGAUGCAGAAGACCUGGGUUCAAUCCCUGGGUCAGGA
rnacentral:tRNA from 1 species